rnacentral:rRNA from 1 species
UACGUAGGGUGCGAGCGUUAAUCGGAAUUACUGGGCGUAAAGCGUGCGCAGGCGGUUCGUUAAGUCAGAUGUGAAAGCCCCGGGCUCAACCUGGGAACUGCAUUUGAAACUGGCGGGCUUGAGUGUGGCAGAGGGGGGUGGAAUUCCGCGUGUAGCAGUGGAAUGCGUAGAGAUGCGGAGGAACACCGAUGGCGAAGGCAGCCCCCUGGGCCAACACUGACGCUCAGGCACGAAAGCGUGGGGAGCAAACAGG